rnacentral:rRNA from 1 species
GACGUAGGUGGCGAACGUAUCCGGAAUUAUUGGGCGUAAAGGGUGCGUAGGCGGCCUGAUAAGUUAGCAGUGGUAAAUCGAGGCUCAACCUCGCGGAAACUGGUAAUACUGUCUGGCUUGAGUACAGGAGAGGUUAACGGAACUCCAUGUGGAGCGGUAAAAUGUGAAGAUAUAUGGAAGAACAUCAAUAAUGGCGAAGGCAGUUAACUAUUCUGUUACUGACGUUGAGGCACGAAAGCGUGGGGAGCAAAACGG